rnacentral:rRNA from 1 species
CCUACGGGAGGCAGCAGUGAGGAAUAUUGGUCAAUGGACGAGAGUCUGAACCAGCCAAGUAGCGUGAAGGAUGACUGCCCUAUGGGUUGUAAACUUCUUUUAUAUGGGAAUAAAACGUUCCACGUGUGGGAUUUUGUAUGUACCAUAUGAAUAAGGAUCGGCUAACUCCGUGCCAGCAGCCGCGGUAAUACGGAGGAUCCGAGCGUUAUCCGGAUUUAUUGGGUUUAAAGGGAGCGUAGGUGGAUUGUUAAGUCAGUUGUGAAAGUUUGCGGCUUAACCGUAAAAUUGCAGUUGAAACUGGCAGUCUUGAGUACAGUAGAGGUGGGCGGAAUUCGUGGUGUAGCGGUGAAAUGCUUAGAUAUCACGAAGAACUCCGAUUGCGAAGGCAGUUCACUGGACUGCAACUGACACUGAGGCUCGAAAGUGUGGGUAUCAAACAGGAUUAGAUACCCUUGUAGUC